rnacentral:lncRNA from 10 species
GGCUGAGGCAGGAGAAUCACUUGAACCCAGAAGGCAGAGGCCACAGUCAGCCGAGAUCGUGCCACUGCACUCCAGCCUGGGUGACAGAGUAAGACUCUGUCUCAAAAAAAAAAAAAAGAAAAGAAAAGAAAAGAAAAAAGUGCAUCUUGAGAAAUUAAUGGUAGGAAUGUAGAAUGGCAUCCCACUCCCGAAAUUAGUUUGGCAGUUUCUUUAAAAUGUAAACAAACACUAUAUGACCCAGCAGUUGUACCCUUGUGCCUUUUUCCCAGAGAAAUUAAACUUAUGUUCACAGAAAACCUAUACAUAAAUGUUCAUUACACCUUUCCUCAUAGUAGCCCAAAACUGGAGAUAACCUAAAUGUCCUACAUUGUAGAGUUUAAAAUAUUGCAGAACAUGCACCAAUAGAACAUGCACCAAUAGAACACACAGAUGAAUCUUGUAACGUGCAUAAAUAGAACACACAGAUGAAUCUUGUAACACGCAUAAAUAGAACACACAGAUGAAUCUUGUAACGUGCAUAAAUAGAACACACAGAUGAAUCUUGUAACUGUUAUGCUAAGUAAAAAAGCCAGGCAAAAAAGAAUACACACUGCAUGAUUACAAUUCUACUUUUAUGAAACUGUAGAAAAGACAAAACUAGUGAUAAGCAGCAGACCAGUUGUUGCCAGUGGGUGGGGAUGUGAAAAAGAAAUAAUUACAAAGUGGCAUAAGGACAUUUUUGCAGUGAUGGAAAGAUUCUAUAUCAUGUCAACAAACUACAGUGCACAGGCCCAAUUCAGCCUGCCACCUGGUUUUGUAAGUUUUAUUGGAAUAAGGAUUUGUUCAUAUAUGUAUUUUGCACUACAGUUGCAGAGUUGAGUAGUUGUGACAGAGACCGGACGUCAUGCAAAACUUAAAGCAUUUACUAUGUGGCCCUUUACAGAAAACGUUUGCCAACCGCUGCAAUAUAUGUUUGCGGUGGUGGUAACACAGAUGUAUAUAUUUGUCAAAAAUUCCUUAAAUUGUCCAUUUAAUGACAUUGGCAGAUAUUAUUGUUCAUAAAUUUUAAUUCAAUAAAGCUAAUUUUAAUACCUAAAAAAAAAAUCAGUCUAACAGCCACAUUCAUAAUAUUUAAA